GCCUGCAUCUGGGAUAGCUCAGUUAGUAGAGCAUGAGACUCUUAAUCUCUGGGUCGUGGGUUCGAUCCCCAAGCUGGGCA